CGGGGGAUACUGCCAGACUUGGAACCGGGAGAGGUAAGAGGUACUACAGGGGUAGGAGUGAAAUCUUGUAAUCCCUGUGGGACCACCUGUGGCGAAGGCGUCUUACCAGAACGGGUUCGACGGUGAGGGACGAAAGCUGGGGGCACGAACCGGAUUAGAUACCCGGGUAGUCCCAGCCGUAAACGAUGCUCGCUAGGUGUCAGGCAUGGCGCGACCGUGUCUGGUGCCGCAGGGAAGCCGUGAAGCGAGCCACCUGGGAAGUACGGCCGCAAGGCUGAAACUUAAAGGAAUUGGCGGGGGAGCACAACAACGGGUGGAGCCCUGCGGUUUAAUUGGACUCAACGCCGGACAACUCACCGGGGGCGACAGCAAUAUGUAGGCCAAGCUGAAGACUUUGCCUGAAUCGCUGAGAGGUGGUGCAUGG
rnacentral:rRNA from 1 species